UCGAAACUCCGAGCGAAAGCACUCUAAGGAUGAUGUCUUUCAUCUAUGAGGCUGAGCCUGGGUCAAACCCACAGGGCAGUGCUGGAAAUGGCACUGCCUUCCGUUUUUGAAAAGGAGCUAUG
rnacentral:ncRNA from 1 species